CGGAGGAUCCAAGCGUUAUCCGGAAUUACUGGGCGUAAAGAGUUGCGUAGGUGGCAUUGUAAGUAGGUAGUGAAAGCGUUCGGCUCAACCGGAUAAACAUUAUCUAAACUGCAAAGCUAGAGGACAAGAGAGGUUAUUGGAAUUCCUUGUGUAGGAGUGAAAUCCGUAGAUAUAAGGAGGAACACCGAUGGCGUAGGCAGAUAACUGGCUUGUUCCUGACACUAAGGCACGAAAGCGUGGGUAGCAAACGGGAUU
rnacentral:rRNA from 1 species